rnacentral:rRNA from 1 species
AACGAACGCUGGCGGCAUGCCUAACACAUGCAAGUCGAACGAGACCUUCGGGUCUAGUGGCGCACGGGUGCGUAACGCGUGGGAACCUGCCCUCACCCUCGGAAUAACUCCCCGAAAGGGGUGCUAAUACCGGCUAAUGUCUUCGGCCCAAAGAUUUAUCGCCUUUGGAUGGGCCCGCGUUGGAUUAGCUAGUUGGUAGGGUAAAAGCCUACCAAGGCGACGAUCCAUAGCUGGUCUGAGAGGAUGAUCAGCCACACUGGGACUGAGACACGGCCCAGACUCCUACGGGAGGCAGCAGUGGGGAAUAUUGGACAAUGGGCGAAAGCCUGAUCCAGCAAUGCCGCGUGAGUGAUGAAGGCCUUAGGGUUGUAAAGCUCUUUUACCCGGGAUGAUAAUGACAGUACCGGGAGAAUAAGCUCCGGCUAACUCCGUG